GGGGCUUUGAGCGCGAGGAAGGCGUGGGAACGCGUGAUACACUGGGGAAGGCCGAAAGGCGGUGACUCUAGCCCUAGGCCUGACACGUGUGAGGCGGCCGCCAGUUUGGUCCUGGAUCGGGCAGUAAGGAUCUGCUGGUAGUUUAGCGUCUUCUCAGUUGAUUAGCACCGCAGAAUUCGGUUGUGAAGAGAGGUGAAGUGACAGUAAGCAACUUAGGGGGAGAAAGAGGUCUUUGCUUCACUUCUUGACGUGACGGUGCCGGAGGGACUUCCGCGUCGGUUCCUCUCGGAAGUUGAUCAUUCGCCAGCUUCGCUGGGCAUUGUAAUGCUGGCUUCCAAAAGCAAAUUGGUGUGUGAGAGAUUUUGAUUUUUCUUUCAGAAACUGUGGGAAGGAUGUGCUUGGCUUUGUUUUUGUUUGCUGGAACUUUGGAAUAAUUUUCCUACCCUUAUGUGAAAUAGCUAGACUUUAAUUUCCAUAAAGUUGUGAAUUUUUCCCUUAGAGUUUUCCUGGUCUUUCCUGCCACUUCUAGAAGCGUGGCAUAUUUUGUCGGAUGGGGACGCCCUCCUGCCCCCGCCAAAAAUUGGACAGUUUUUACUUAACAGUGCUUUUUUCGGUGUAUACAGACUUGGAGUAAUUUGAGUGUUAACAUUCAUUUAGCUACUCAAAAUAUCGUGAGAUUAGUCUGUGGUUUUGGUACCUCAUUUCAAAACAUCUCAACCCUAAAAGUUUUGAUAUACUGGUCUUAGUUAUACCUUGAAUUUGUUGGGAAAUUGAUAACAUUUUAUUAAUUAUAAUGAAGUAAUAUUACUAUGAUGAAAGGAUUCAAAUAUUAGCCAGAAAAGUAAAUGAAUUCUGCAUGUGAACGCAGAUUACAACAUAAGUUUACUUAGGGAAUUCUAGAUUUGGGGAGUAGAUUUGUGUGUCCCAAAAGCAAUAAGACCAAAAAGCCCUUCAAAGAAACAUAACAUUGUUCUGAUAACUUUUCAAAUCUUCCUGGUAGUUACGGUUCAUUAGAUAUGUAUACUCCUCAUUCACCUGAUCCUUUUCAAAAUAAAUAACACAACUCCAAAGUUGUGAUGUUAGGGAACAGCAAAGUUCCCUUAUGGGAUUGUUAGACAAAUUACAUGAGAUAAUGCAUAUAAAGUACUUAGUCUUGUAGGACAAAGUAAGUACUCGUGAAUAUUUUCUAUUCGGAGGGUAGGCCAUCCUGUAUGAGAGAGGAGUGAGGCAACCAGUUGGGGUUUUGAGGAGUGAGGUAAGGACAAGAAGUGGAGACUGAGAAAACUGACCAAAUACAAGAAUUGGUAAGUGUGGAUGACCCAACUGAGAUUGAAAAUCAUAUAAGAGCUCAUGCCAGUCACUCUCAGAUUGAAAGGAACAUUGGAAGAUGAUUGAAGUAGUGUAAACAUGUUUGGAGGUAGACAAGUAAAUAUAUGUCAUUUAGAGAUGGAUUGCUGAUCAGCAGGGAAAAAGCACAAAUGUGAUUGAAUAGCAUUGUUGCCUGCUCUUGAAACAUUUUAUAGUCAUCCUUAGCCAGAACAUAGAAAACAGAUGAUUUUUUUCCCCAGAACUAGGGAUUGACACUGAAUUGUAUUUGGUUUGAGAAAAUGGAUGGAAUCAGUGAUACUACUACUAAUGAGGAAAUCUUUGAAAUAGCUAAAAAAUGAUAUCUAAGCUAAUGCGGUGCCAACGAAAAAGGGUGAUAUAAAAAUGAGAAAGAGCAGAGGGUACAAUGGGAUGAUGAAGCAUUUUAAUGAUAUUGGUGACCAAGAUGAUGAAUUUAAGUUGGAAGUCUUAGAGAUGAGAGUGAACCCACUUGUGUGACCACCAUCCAAAUCAAUAAAUAAAACAUUACGAACAUCCUAAAAACCUUCCUUCUGACCUUUCCUAGUCAUUACACCCCCCAAAGUAAGCACUAGUCCUAGAAUAGUUUUGCCUGGUUUUGAAAUAAAGCAUUGUAGUGCUUUGUAUGAUUUAUUUCCUUCACUGUGAGAGUCAUCCAGGAUGUUAGGGUAACUGUAGUUCUUUCGUUCCCAGUGCUGAGUGUUAAUAUGUUAGAUGAGUAGACUGCAGUUUAUCCAUUCUAAUGUUGAUAAACUUGGCUAUUACAACUAGUACUGCUAUGAACAUUCUUGGAAAUGCCCUUUGAAUAUAUUCCCCCAUUUCUCUUGGGUAUCAAGGAUCAGAAUUACUGGGUGAAAAUGUAUGUUUGAU